CGCAUGCGCCGUGGUUGGCGUUGCGCGAGGGGUUGUGGGAGCUUCCGGCGUGCCUGAGAAGCGGCGGGUGUGGGGCUGGGGGACUUCCGGCCCGGCUGAGGGUAUAAAUGGCCUCCAGAAGAAUCACGCGGGAAGCUUUUGACGCUGUGGUGCAAGAUAAAGUUAAAAGGUAUCGGAUGGACCGAAGCGAUGCUAUGGAGGAAACAGUCCAUCGGUUUAAAGCUCAUUCAAGACCUAUCCCAAGACCCAGGUAUGAAGACAGUUUCCAUGACGACGGCAGAUAUUCACAUGAUGGUCCCCAACAUCUUCCUCAUGACGACUGGAGAGAAGAUCCUAGGGAGGAUUAUCCAGGGCCUUCCUAUAGAUCUAAUAGUCCUCUCAUGAGGAAAGAUGACUACUACCAUGACCACUAUGUCCGCCCAGCCUCUCGGGACCGGGACUAUGUCCGCCCAGCCUCUCGGGACCGGGACUAUGACCAUCCACAUCCUUGGGAAUCCUCAAGGCCCCAUGAUGCUGAUUUUGGCCCUUCCGACCUCUUGGGUGAUUUUAGAUCUCCAGGACUCAUGGAGGAGGAGUAUGGGAACAUGGAAAGUGAGGAAUAUGACCUGGAAUAUGGGCUUCAGUCUGAGGGUGAGUUCGGACCUCCAGUACGGAGAGGCAGCAUUGGCAGAGGAAGGGUUCUGCGAGGAAAACAUAUUACAAGAGGCACUAUUAAAACUAAAGUAUUUAAAGGAGAUGUCAUAGCUCCUCUAAAGAAAUGGAACACUAAAAAACCAUCGCCAGUAACUGAUCAAAAGUCAACUCUAGAACCUGAUCAGAUGCCAGAAUCUACAGAACGACCUAACCAGAGGACAGCAGCUGCUCAGCAACCAACUCCACGACCUAAUCAGAGGCUAGCUGUGUCAGCCCAGAGGCCUGUUCUCCGGCUUACUAAGCCUGCGCAUGUUUUCAGAGAACUGAACUUUGACCUUGUGGACAAAUCUGACAUUUUUUCAACAUUUGGAAUAGAAAUAAUUAAAUGGGCUGGAUUUCACACAAUAAAACAUGAUGCAGAAUUCUCACGGCUCUUUAGAGCCCUCUUUAGGCUGGAGACAGAAACGUGUGCAAAAAUGCUUGCUUCUUUCAAGUGCCCGCUAAAGCCAGAACACAGGGAUUACUGUUUCUUCACAAUCAAGGGUUUACAACACACUGCACUGAAGACACCCAAAGUAGACAAUGAGUUCUUAAACAUGCUGUUGGACAAAGGUGCUGUGAAGACAAAGAACUGCUUCUUUGAAAUAAUAAAACCUUUCGAUAAAUAUGUGAUGAGACUCCAAGAUCGUCUUCUAAAGUGCGUCACACCUCUGCUUAUGGCCUGCAAUGCCUAUGAGCUAAGCAUAAAGACAAGUGGUUUCAGUAAUCUCACAGAAAUGGCAAAUGCUUUUGAGACCACCAUUUCUCUGUGUCGUAAGUCUCUAGCACUUCUGGGCCAAACUUUUGCAUUAGCUUCUGUUUUCAGGCAAGAGAAAAUACUCGAGGCUGUUGGUCUCCAGGAGAUGGCUCCAGCACCAACUUCAUUUCCAAAUUUUGAUGAUUCAACAUUGUUUGGAAGAGAGUACAUAGAGAACUUGAAAGCUUGGCUUGAGAAAAGUGGGUAUCCACUUCAGAUGAAGAAAAUAGAACCAGAAUCCACUAUACAGCUUAAGGCAACUUCUCCUGACACAAAGGCUAAAAUCCCUCAGCGUGCUGAUCGGAGAGUUGUAGAGACAAUUGAGAAGCUAGUGAACAGCAUUGUUUCGGGUACUUUGUCUGCAAAAGAAAAAAAUGCUCAAAAGGGCUCCCCUGACUAUUGGUUCUUGUCUGAAGAAAAUAGUCUAGAAUACAAAUAUUACAGACUGAAGUUAUCAGAGAUGCAGCGGUUGACUUCAUCUACAAAGGGGGGAGAUGGAGAGGGGAGAACACCAGAAGAAUGUGCAACGGAAUCAGUGAGGGCCAUGUUGUAUGCAAAGAAAGUAGCAAGUAUUAAGAAAAGACUCUUUAAAAGGAAAAGACCUGGCAUUAUUGCACGGCGUGGAGUUCGAGGCAGGAAAGUGAGAAAAACAACCAUAGGGACGCAGACCGUGCUGUCAGCUGGUACGAUGCUAAAACGUCAAGACAAACAUACCCAAGGCUCCAUUCAGACAAAGCCUUCUGUAUCGGAAACCAGCCUUUCUGAGAGAGACUCAUCCUUGGAUGCAGCUGAAUCUUCACGGUGUGCCACCACGCCAGAAGUUUCACUGCCACUGGGAGCAGUCGGUGACACUGAGAAUUUAUCAGCCUCACCUGGACAUUCCCAGAUACUGUUGUCUCAGUUCCCUGAUGUGGAUGCUAGAACAAUGGAAACUGCUGAGAAGUUUGCCAAGUUCGUUGCUCAGGUGGGACCAGAAAUUGAGCAGUUCAGUAUAGAUAACAGUGCGGAUAACCCAGAUCUUUGGUUCCUACAGGAUCAAAACAGUUCUGCUUUCAGAUUUUACCGAAUGAAAGUCUAUGAAUUAUGCCCAUCUAUCAACUUCAGUGCUGUAUCAGAAACAACUGUACCUGGGGGAAGUGCUAAACCUGGAGGAAAAAAUCUGGAUCAUUCAGAAGAGGAGGAGGAAGAGGAAGAAGAUAAUGAGGAAGAAGAGGAAGAAGCUGAACUCGAAGAGAUCUCCCAACCAUUGGAAAAAACUGGAGUGGAAAUGGAGCGAACAGGAGAGGGAGAAGAAAACAUCUCAGCAGCUGGGACUGAAGAGAUCCCACCUGAAGAGUUACUUUCCAAAACAGGAGAAGUACCUCCAACGGGGGAAAUGCAGCCAGCCUCAACUUCUGAUAGCACUGCGUCAAAUCUGUCAGCACAGACACCAGUUCCUACUCCUGGUACCCCGUUUCCUCGCAAAAGAAUUAGCAGCAAGUCUCUGAAAGUUGGCAUGAUUCCUGCAUCUAAAAGAGUGUGCCUCAUUGAGGAACCAAAGGUUCAUGAACCUGUCAGAAUUGCUUAUGACAGGCCUCGUGGUCGUCCUGUUACAAAGAAGAAGAAGGUGAGGGAACUUUUUGUUCACGACUCUGCACGCACAGUGUCUCUCUUUGGUGAAAACAGCUCUUUCACAGUUCCUAAACCAAAAGACUUAGAAUUUUCACACAAGAAAUUGACAAACAAGAAUGUGGGUUUCCAGAUGCUUCAGAAGAUGGGCUGGCAAGAGGGACAUGGUCUUGGUACACAAGGAAAAGGAAUCAAAGAGCCUGUGAAAGUGGGUACAACCUCUGCAGGGGAGGGCUUGGGUGUUGCAGGGGAAGAAAAUAAAGAAGAUACAUUUGAUGUUUUCCGUCAAAGAAUGAUACAAAUGUACAGGCAGAAAAGAGCGAGUAAAUAGGUUUGAUAUAAGCGACUCACUUGCUAGAAAACGUGGAUGUACAAAGGCUGCUGCAUGAAAGGUCUUCAUCACACGCUGUCAAUAUGAAGAAUACUUUGUUCUGUAGUAGUGGACUAAUAUGCCAAAACACUUUCCAAGAGUAAAAUUAGUCUUGUACUUAAAUGUGCAACCUAACAACUUGGGUGGCCUCUUUGAAGGAAGAAACAAUUGAUCUGCACACAGAAAAACCUGUUUACCUUUUUCCUUGGCCAAGGAUGCUUAGUAUGUGACAAAAUGUCUUGCUCCAAAAGUUUUAAGCAAAAUUAAAAAUGCGAGCUAAGGAAGCAGUCUGCUUUGGCCCUGUUCCUGUAUGAGGCUGGGAAAUUUCUCAAUUCAUAUCUUAUUGAAAAGCAGCUUUCCACCAUACCAGAUACUCAGUUUUACACUUUUUGAAUGGCUAAAUCUUUUGAGCUGCCUCUGUAGUCUGGAUAAAGCAGAUCUUGAUUAUUCUCCUUCCCCCACGCCCCCUUCUCCCCCAUUUAUAGAACAAUUUUUAAGAACAAAACCUUUAAGCAUGCAGGUUUGUAGGAAUCCAUGCUUACAUGUAUCAAACUGACGUACUAAAUCCAUGUGCAAGUGAAAACACUAAACUCUUGCCUAACAAACCUCAGCUGCUGGAACAUUCACUGUGACAAACAAGCAGUACCUAUUUUAAGUGUUCUUUUUGUUUUUAUGUGAAUUUUUAGUUGUUGCUCAAGGAAAUCUUGCGCAGUCUCUUUCCUGCUCAAAGAAAUAAAGCCACAAACAAGGUGUUGUUCAUGUUUGCAGAAAAUACCAUGCUCUAAAAUGUUGAAAGUCAAAUGGUCAAGAUCAUCUGGAAGUGGAACAUCCGUUUUGUAAAACCAUCAGUUUAGGGAGUUGGUCUGCUUCUGCUUUUGUUGAAAUGUUGAUCUUCAGAAGUCCUCUUACUGAAAGACCCCCAGGAAAUGUGAAGAAAACUUGACACUUUAAGGACUUUGUAUUCCAUUACUUCCUUUAAUUAUUAUUUAAAUCAAAGAUGGUACUAAAUUAGUAGUCUGCUCUAAUAAUAAACUAUAGGAUUGCAUUGUAACUUCUUGAUAGAGCAGUCCUUAAAAAUGGAAGACUUUACAUCAUGACUACAAUAAAUGUUCAUGGUCUAGUUGAUCAUUCAUCCUUCUCCAGAUUUGCAUGUCAAUAAAUAAUCCAUGACUAGAUUACUUAAAGUGACAGAAUUUAGUACUGUGCUUUUUAACUUGCUCUUUUUUCUCCAUCAUUUCACUUCUAAAUCUAGUCAAGAGCCUUCACUUUUUUAUUGUAAUGGCAAAGGCUACUUCACUGCGGUCCUCUUGAAAGAAAAUGUAUCUUGAGUGGAUGCAUGUUUCCCUUAUGAGAAGCAAGUGCAGCCUUAUUGAUGUUUUCAUCUGGCAUUGCUCUUCUUGUAAUGCAAGAACUAGUGGUACAGUCAGUAAAAUACCAUACAGUAAAAUAGCAGCACAUUGAGUGCCUAAAUACAGAUAAAUAAGAAAACUUAAUCUGCAGUUAUCAACUUGCAUGUGCCUGCUGUGCCAAAGAGUCAUCCUUCCUGUCUCAAAAAUGGAAAAAAAUGCUGAUUUGAAAGAGGGAAUUCUUCACUUUCAUUUUGUAGCAGCAAAAACCUUUCCUUUCCCCACAAGAACUUUGCAUUCAUAAAUUAACCAAUUUAUUUAGUUUAUGAAUGUAAGAUUUUUCUUUGCUUUGUGUGUCUGUGAAACUGAAAAGCUACAAUAUUGUGCCACAGCAUAACGUUCUGGUCACUGUUUUAAUAGCUUUAAAGCAUGCCAGCACUAGAUACAUAUAUAAAUUGUUAUACCAAGAAUUAUAUUUUUCUGUGCUUUCCCACCUAUACAUCUCAGGAGGUUGAAGCAUCAAGACUGUAAAUACAAAUGUCUAUUCAAAAAGUUUACUUUUUUCAUCAUACUUGAUUUGAUAUUUGAUGUUACCGAGAUUUCCUUUAGGCUUGGAAAUAUUUAUGAUUUUAAACGUGUUGGACAGAGGCUGCCUUUCAUUUCAGCUGGUUAGAGUGUUUGACAACAUUACACUAUUUGGAUGUGUUCUCCACCGCUCCUUUUCCCUUGCCUGCACUUAAUUAGCCAUAACAUUUAAUGAGAAAACUGAGUUUCUUAAAAAGCAGUUCUACCAGUCAUUGUCUAUUUUUGGAAGACACUCUGGAACCAAUGCGGUUGGUCCCGGAGUUAUUUCUCAGACCCGCUUGUUUGGGUUUCACUUUUCUUGUAGUUUCACCGAUGAAGAUGCCAUUAUUGCAGUAUACGAUAUAAGUUUUUUUGGUUUUUUUCCCCCAUUAUGCUUCCAGUUCUCUUCUUUCACAUUUGCAUUUUUGGAAGCACUCUCUAGACUAUGUGCUGUGCCAUUUAUGGGAAGACACAACUCAAAGCGUGGUUCCAUUCUAGGCUGGGAUCCACUUUCUCAGACCCUGAUCAGCAUUCUGAGCUGUGAUGAUUAUAGUACCAUUUGGGGUACAUUUACUGAACACCUGCUUAUCCAGUCUAGGGAAAUUGUCAGCAUCCAGAUUGGAAAAUAAUACACGUUCCUUGUUGAUUUCAACUCAGUUUAGAGUAUAAUGCACUCUUGAAAAUAAUGUGAACAGUAGUUCUUGGGGUAAAUCUUAAUCUGCUGCCCUGGAUAACUAUACUAUUGUCAGUCUUUCUUGUGCCAAACUUUAAUUUUGGACAAGAUAUCAGUAGAGCAGCACUGGUGCUAAGAUUCCAGUGUUGCUCUCCAGUGGGUUUCUGUGUAUCACUUUGAUCUUGUUUUAUCAAGUGAUGACCUUGCUCUCCUUUUGCAAAAGGAAAUUCCCCUUUAUUUUGACCUGCUUUUGCAGGCUUCCCCGAUUUUUGAAAAUUUAAGUACGUGUACAUGUGAAACAUUGUUAUGCAGAUACAUUGCCUUGUUAAAGUUUACUAGUUUAUUCUCUGUUAUUUUAGUUUCCAGGCUCUCUUCCAUGAAGACUACAAGCAUCAGUGAACAUUUUAACUAACUUCAGUGGUGUGUCUGCUGUCUUUUGGUUGUUUUUACUGUUAAUCUUGUAGAACAAUUUGCUAGUUUUUGUUUGUGCAAAUCAGCAGUAGUGCUAAACUAGUAACAAGUGGAUGCUUAUGUCAUUUGAAUAACUGAAAUUUCUUUUUAGUAGAAGUAAACAUGUUAAGAUUGUUAAACCUUUAAUAUCUGCAAUAAAUGUUAGAAAUAAACAA